UACGUAUGUGGCGAGCGUUGUCCGGAUUUACUGGGCGUAAAGAGAGCGUAGGCGGACUUUUAAGUGAGAUGUGAAAUACCCGGGCUCAACUUGGGUGCUGCAUUUCAAACUGGAAGUCUAGAGUGCAGGAGAGGAGAAUGGAAUUCCUAGUGUAGCGGUGAAAUGCGUAGAGAUUAGGAAGAACACCAGUGGCGAAGGCGAUUCUCUGGACUGUAACUGACGCUGAGGAGCGAAAGCAUGGGUAGCGAACAGGAUUA
rnacentral:rRNA from 1 species